CAGCAAUGGCCGGCGCGCGUCCGAACUUUUGUAAAUUUGGUCGACUAGAGGAAGAAGAAGUCGUAACAAGGUUUCCGUAGGUGAACCUGCGGAAGGAUCAUUAGCGUUGAAUGGUUGUUGCCAUUUCGUAAAAAUGUGGAUCGUCUCUGUUGCUGGAUACCGGGAUGGAACGCCCUCGUGGCG
rnacentral:rRNA from 1 species